AGACCCUUCUUCAGACUUGUUAAUGAUAUUCUGCAGCCCCUCUUCCAUUCUCUUGCAGACACCUUUCGCAGGUUAUAUGUUUGAAGUUCGAAUCUUGUCUCCAAAAGCUGGUACAUUAAAUAUGCGGGAA